GCCGGAGUGGCGGAACUGGCAGACGCGCGGGACUCAAAAUCCCGUGUCCCAAAAGGACGUGUGGGUUCGACCCCCACCUCCGGCAUCA
rnacentral:tRNA from 1 species